rnacentral:rRNA from 1 species
UACGAAGGAUCCUAGCGUUGUCCGGAUUUACUGGGUUUAAAGGGUGCGUAGGCGGACUAUUAAGUCAGUGGUGAAAGCCGGUAGCUUAACUAUCGAAUUGCCAUUGAAACUGAUAGUCUCGAGUAUAGUUGAGGUAGUUGGAAUGUAUCAUGUAGCGGUGAAAUGCUUAGAUAUGAUACAGAACACCGAUUGCGAAGGCAGAUUACUAAACUAUAACUGACGCUGAGGCACGAAAGCGUGGGGAUCAAACAGG